UACGAGGGGGGCGAGCGUUGUUCGGAAUUAUUGGGCGUAAAGGGUGCGUAGGCGGUUCGGUAAGUUUCGUGUGAAAUCUUCGGGCUCAACUCGAAGUCUGCACGAAAUACUGCCGGGCUUGAGUGUGGGAGAGGUGAGUGGAAUUUCCGGUGUAGCGGUGAAAUGCGUAGAUAUCGGAAGGAACACCUGUGGCGAAAGCGGCUCACUGGACCACAACUGACGCUGAGGCACGAAAGCUAGGGGAGCAAACAGG
rnacentral:rRNA from 1 species